rnacentral:rRNA from 1 species
GAUGAACGCUAGCGGCAGGCCUAACACAUGCAAGUCGAGGGGUAGAAGCAGCUUGCUGCUUUGAGACCGGCGCACGGGUGCGUAACGCGUAUGCAAUCUACCUUUUACUAAGGAAUAGCCCAGAGAAAUUUGGAUUAAUGCCUUAUGGUAUAUUUGAAUGGCAUCAUUUAAAUAUUAAAGAUUUAUUGGUAAAAGAUGAGCAUGCGUCCCAUUAGUUAGUUGGUAAGGUAACGUCUUACCAAGACGAUGAUGGGUAGGGGUCCUGAGAGGGAGGUCCCACACACUGGUACGGAGACACGGACCAGACUCCUACGGGAGGCAGCAGGGAGGAAUAUUGGUCAAUGGAGGCAACUCUGAACCAGCCAUGCCGCGUGCAGGAUGACGGUCCUAUGGAUUGUAAACUGCUUUUGUACAGGAAGAAAAAGAGUUACGUGUAGCUUAUUGACGGUACUGUAAGAAUAAGGAUCGGCUAACUCCGUGCCAGCAGCCGCAGUAA